rnacentral:rRNA from 1 species
UACGAAGGGGGCUAGCGUUACUCGGAUUGACUGGGCGUAAAGGGCGCGUAGGCGGUUCGUACAGUCAGACGUGAAAUUCCUGGGCUCAACCUGGGGGCUGCGCUUGAUACGUGCGGGCUUGAGUUCGGAAGAGGGUCGUGGAAUUCCCAGUGUAGAGGUGAAAUUCGUAGAUAUUGGGAAGAACACCGGUGGCGAAGGCGGCGACCUGGUCCGAUACUGACGCUGAGGCGCGAAAGCGUGGGGAGCAAACAGG